rnacentral:sRNA from 1 species
UUUCAUUUGAAAGAAAACUUCAGACUGUUUAUAUCGUUGAUUAAAAGGCAAGAUAUUUUUUUUACGUCAAAUAAUUUUUGGAUUUUCUCGAAGAAAUUUAUUUUUUGAAUUGGCAAUUUCGCUGUGACUCGGACUGCGUAUAAUAAAUUGGAAGCUAUUAUAUAUUUCUGGGAGGAAUUGGGAGCGUUUAUCUCUAAGUCCUCCCAAGGAUUUUUUAUUUAAAGUUUUUUCCACGAGAGAGAUAAAAGGAAAUAGCAUCUCCAUAACACCACCAGUCUGACCUUUGGCGGUUUUAGGCGCACCAUUGCGAAUGAUUGUUGCCGUAAAUUUUAUUGUUGACCAACACGUAUACGCCACAAAAGGAUAAUCAACCAUUCCAAGCUCUUGUCAAGAUUAUGAAAUAAAUAGAGCAAUAUAAAGAAAAUGUUGACAUACAUAUAUAAAUUCUUGAAGUUUCUUAAGAGGAUCCAAAACAAAAGGACAAUAUUAUCAUUGAGAGCGUAUCAUCAGAAGGGCAUCAUGGUUACCUUCUCCAUCAAUUGCUAGGAUAUUAAGAAUAACCGCAAUAUAUACACUAGUCUACAAUUUGUUUCACCAAAUACUUAUUUUGUCAAGAGUGAAUAUUUUAUUUUGAUUUUGUUAAGCACCAGAAUCCAGCAAAGACAACAGGACUGCGGGCAACAAUGGACAUAAUGUUCUGGUAAGUCGGAUAAGUUUUUUUUUUGUUUGGUUUAAAUAUUCACUCAUUAUUUUUACACUACACUACACUAUUUAUAUACCCAUUAAUGGCUUUCUUAUAUAAUAAUAUUUUCCCUUA